AUGCGUGGUCUCCACCGCCCACCCCAAGAUGGCUGCCGCGAGUCCCCAGGGGCUGUGCUGAGGUUGGCUCCAAGAUGGCGGCGACCGCGGACUUCGGCUCCCGGCGGGCUGUGGGGUCCGUCCAGCGAGGCCCCGGCCCCGCCCGCGCCGCGCCCUUACGAACGGCGGCGGAUACCCGCAGGUGCUUGGGUCUGCUUUUUCUGGAUUGAGCUCCAACUCCUCAUAUACAAAGCUGCAUGUAUCAAAGCUAGAAGCAAUUCAAAGCAGAAGAAAGAAGCUGAUGAUAGUCCUUUACCAAAUUCCUUUAUUUCAGUAAAGCAAGAGCAGCUCCUUUUUAGUGAAGAGCAGACCCUGAACUCAACUGUCUUGCAGUCUUUGGUCAGAAAAUACUGGUCUAUGUUGAGAAGAAUGAACGAGGGAAUUAAUGCCUGUAAUAUGGACUGCAGAAAAGUCACCUACAAGAUAAGAGGGUGA
rnacentral:lncRNA from 1 species